AGUGAACGCUGGCGGUAGGCCUAACACAUGCAAGUCGAACGGCAGCACAGAAAGAGCUUGCUCUUACGGGUGGCGAGUGGCGGACGGGUGAGGAAUACAUCGGAAUCUACUUUUUCGUGGGGGAUAACGUAGGGAAACUUACGCUAAUACCGCAUACGACCUACGGGUGAAAGAAGGGGAUCUUCGGACCUUGCGCGUUUGAAUGAGCCGAUGUCGGAUUAGCUAGUUGGUGGGGUAAAGGCCCACCAAGGCAACGAUACGUAGCUGAGCUGAGAGGAUGAUCAGCCACACUGGAACUGAGACACGGUCCAGACUCCUACGGGAGGCAGCAGUAGGGAAUAUUGGACAAUGGGCGCAAGCCUGAUCCAGCCAUACCGCGUGGGUGAAGAAGGCCUUCGGGUUGUAAAGCCCUUUUGUAGGGAAAGAAAAGCAGCAGUUGAAAACCCCGCUGUUCUGACGGUACCCAAAGAGUAAGCACCGGCUAACUUCGUG
rnacentral:rRNA from 1 species